GACGGUACCUGGGAGGGGGGCGCGGAGGGAUCUGUGGGAGAGGGUGCGGCCGCAAGGACUGGUGUCCCGGGACCGGGGCGCUUCAUUCGAGUGUUGGCAGGCCGUGGUCGUGCAGGGCCGCUGCGGCUCAGCUCAGACUUGGUGCAACC